rnacentral:rRNA from 1 species
CCUACGGGGGGCAGCAGUGAGGAAUAUUGGUCAAUGGGCGGGAGCCUGAACCAGCCAAGUCGCGUGAGGGAAGACGGUCCUAUGGAUUGUAAACCUCUUUAGGAGGGGAGCAAUGCCGGGCACGCGUGCCCGGAGGGAGAGUACCCGCAGAAUAAGCAUCGGCUAACACCGUGCCAGCAGCCGCGGUAAUACGGAGGAUGCGAGCGUUAUCCGGAUUUAUGGGGUUUAAGGGGUGCGUAGGCGGAUUUUUAAGUCAGCGGUAAAAUGUUCGGGCUCAACCCGGGCCGGCCGUUGAAACUGGGGAUCUUGAGUGGGGGAGAAGUAUGCGGAAUGCGUGGUGUAGCGGUGAAAUGCAUAGAUAUCACGCAGAACUCCGAUUGCGAAGGCAGCAUACCGGCGCCCGACUGACGCUGAUGCACGAAAGCGUGGGGAUCGAACAGGAUUAGAUACCCCGGUAGUC